CCUAUGGGAGGCAGCAGUGGGGAAUAUUGGACAAUGGGCGAAAGCCUGAUCCAGCCAUGCCGCGUGUGUGAAGAAGGCCUUCGGGUUGUAAAGCACUUUCAGUGGGGAAGAAAGCCUUGGGGCUAAUACCCUCGAGGAAGGACAUCACCCACAGAAGAAGCACCGGCUAACUCCGUGCCAGCAGCCGCGGUAAUACGGAGGGUGCGAGCGUUAAUCGGAAUUACUGGGCGUAAAGCGCGCGUAGGCGGUCUGAUAAGCCGGUUGUGAAAGCCCCGGGCUCAACCUGGGAACGGCAUCCGGAACUGUCAGGCUAGAGUGCAGGAGAGGAAGGUAGAAUUCCCGGUGUAGCGGUGAAAUGCGUAGAGAUCGGGAGGAAUACCAGUGGCGAAGGCGGCCUUCUGGACUGACACUGACGCUGAGGUGCGAAAGCGUGGGUAGCAAACAGGAUUAGAUACCCCGGUAGUC
rnacentral:rRNA from 1 species